rnacentral:tRNA from 1 species
GGGGCUGUAGCUCAGCUGGGAGAGCACCUGCUUUGCAAGCAGGGGGUCGUCGGUUCGAACCCGAUCAGCUCCACCA